GGAGAGUUGGCAGAGUGGUCGAAUGCGGUGGUCUUGAAAACCAUUGACCCUUCACGGGGUCCAGGGGUUCGAAUCCCUUACUCUCCGCAA
rnacentral:tRNA from 1 species